ACAUUUAACAAAAACCCACCAAUUCACUAUCUCAAAAAAUUAGAAUAUGGUGACAUGCCAAUCAGCUAAUCAACUCAAAACACCUGCAAAGGUUUCCUGAGCCUUCAAAAUGGUCUCUCAGUUUGGUUCACUAGGCUACACAAUCAUGGGGAAGACUGCUGAUCUGACAGUUGUCCAGAAGACAAUCAUUGACACCCUUCACAAGGAGGGUAAGCCACAAACAUUCAUUGCCAAAGAAGCUGGCUGUUCACAGAGUGCUGUAUCCAAGCAUGUUAACAGAAAGUUGAGUGGAAGGAAAAAGUGUGGAAGAAAAAGAUGCUCAACCAACCAAGAGAACCACAGCUUUAUGAGGAUUGUCAAGCAAAAUUGAUUCAAGAAUUUGGGUGAACUUCACAAGGAAUGGACUGAGGCUGGGGUCAAGGCAUCAAGAGCCACCACACACAGACGUGUCAAGGAAUUUGGCUACAGUUGUCGUAUUCCUCUUGUUAAGCCACUCCUGAACCACAGACUACGUCAGAUGCGUCUUACCUGGGCUAAGGAGAAGAAGAACUGGACUGUUGCCCAGUGGUCCAAAUUCCUCUUUUCAGAUGAGAGCAAGUUUUGUAUUUCAUUUGGAAUCCAAGGUCCUAGAGUCUGGAGGAAGGGUGGAGAAGAUCAUAGCCCAAGUUGCUUGAAGUCCAGUGUUAAGUUUCCACAGUCUGUGAUGAUUUGGGGUGCAAUGUCAUCUGCUGGUGUUGGUCCAUUGUGUUUUUUGAAAGUCACUGCACCCGUUUACCAAGAAAUUUUGGAGCACUUUCAGCUUUUUAAAGAUGCUGAUUUCAUUUUCCAGCAGGAUUUGGCACCUGCCCACACUGCCAAAAGCACCAAAAGUUGGUUAAAUGACCAUGGUGUUGGUGUGCUUGACUGGCCAGCAAACUCACCAGACCUGAACCCCAUAGAGAAUCUAUGGGGUAUUGUCAACAGGAAAAUGAGAAACAAGAGACCAAAAAAUGCAGAUGAGCUGAAGGCCACUGUCAAAGAAACCUGGGCUUCCAUACCACCUCAGCAGUGCCACAAACUGAUCACCUCCAUGCCACGCCGAAUUGAGGCAGUAAUUAAAGCAAAAGGAGCCCCUACCAAGUAUUGAGUACAUAUACAGUAAAUGAACAUACUUUCCAGAAGGCCAACAAUUCACUAAAAAUGUUUUUUUUUAUUGGUCUUAUGAUGUAUUCUAAUUUUUUGAGAUAGUGAAUUGGUGGGUUUUUGUUAAAUGUGAGCCAAAAUCAUCACAAUUAAAAGAACCAAAGACUUAAACUACUUCAGUCUGUGUGCAUUGAAUUUAUUUAAUACACGAGUUUCACAAUUUGAGUUGAAUUACUGAAAUAAAUGAACUUUUCCACGACAUUCUAAUUUAUUGAGAUGCACCUGUAUAUAUACAGAAGGCUGAGCUGUUUGUAGGUCAUUCUACAAUUGUGGUGGCAUUUCUAAUUGAACAUUUUCAUAAUGGCUAGUUCACCUAAACAACAAAUUCUGUUAUCAUUUACUCACCAUAAUGUUGUUCCAAACCCAUAUUACUUUCUUUCUUUUGUGGAACAUAACAGGAGAUGUAAUGCAGAAUGACUGUAUUUUUGGAAAAAAAUGCAAUAAAAGUGAAUGGUGACUGAGGCUGACAUUUUGCCUCCAAGGCGAACUCCUUUUGCCUUUUAUGCAAAUGAUGACAGAUGUUAUUUUUAUUUUUUCCCCAUAAAAGUCAUUUUGGUGAUUUUAUUUUGUUUUGCAGGAACACAGCUGAUUAUAAUCGUAACAAUUUCUUUAUAUAAAUAACAGAUUGAAACCAGUAUAAAGUUAAAUAAAUCUAGUUGUAUGUCAAAGCUACUAUCAAAGAUAACAAAUCUUUUUUUCUUCUUUUUUUACUACUAUUAUUUAUUAAUAAAAGUAAUUAAUAUAGAGCUGAAUUAUGGAACAAUGGCAUGAUAUUUUGAUGCUUUAAAAGGUUUUUAAAACCAAAAUAAAAAUAAAUAUUAAGAUCUUAUUACACUUCCUGUUCUGGUUGCUGCAGCAUGCUGCACGAGUGUUUUAUAGCUUGCUAGUCUGAUUAGCAUUGCUUAUCCUUAUUCUUAUACCUUCAUCCUUUUAUCCUUUGCCAUUUUGCUGUGUGCUUCGGGUUUUUCCGCUUUUCUACUUUUUCAACUGCGUGUAUUUUACCGUGUGCACCCGUUUUCUGUCUUUUUUUUCCUGCUUGUCUACAUCUCACGUCUCGACUGCAUGCAUUCGCUUAAGAACAACCUUAACAACAACAACAAACAACUGCGGUUACCAGAGCUGGUCAGACCCAGCUCCAUUCCUGCUUGGUGUCGGACUCCACUUGGUGUUUGGUGUUUCUGAGUGAUGAUGACUAAAUGCAGCCGGUACUAGCCAGACAUCAUUUCAAUCUUUUAUAAUGGACUUCAGAGGAUGAACUGAUGCACACUCCAACUGUAAGACAUUGGAUACUUCAUAUGCCACUGCCUGAACCUUGGAUUUAGGAUGGACUCCACCGAACCUCACUGAAAUUACCUGCUGGUUGAACUGCGAUGCCCCUCAUUGAUCUCUGCCUGCAUCACCUUUGUCUAUUGUUGGACUACACUCUUGAAAUGGAAUACAUAGACUAUCAUUUAAUUGCCAACAAAUGCCUUCAUCAGCCAACUAACAAAGAACAAUGCAUCUAUGUGAACUUCUGCAGUUAAUCCAGGAUGGACUUCAAAGACAUUAGUCAGUAAUCUUACAGUUCUUACAGUUUUUUUAAACACUGGACCUUAAUACUUACUUAGUUUACUAAUCUUAAACUCUGAACUGCACUGCAUAUAAAUAACUAAUAUUGGCAUUAUAUUCAUGCUGGUUAGCCAGAGGGGAACUGGCCCCCACAGUGAGCCUGGUUUCUCCCAAGGUUAUUUUUCUCCAUUAACCAACAUCUAAUGGAGUUUUGUGUUCCUUGCCACAGUCGCCUUCAGCUUGCUCACAGGGGUUCUAAAUACAAUUAUUAUUUAUGUAAUUUUUAUAAAAAUUUACAAUCAUAUUUACUCAAACUACAUAAUGAUCACUCUAAGACUUUAUAGAUAUUACAGUUUCAUUUUUUUAUGCAUGAUUUUCUGUAAAGCUGCUUUGAAACGAUGUGUGUUAUGAAAAGCGCUAUACAAAUAAAAAUGACGACACGACUCUCUGAAA